rnacentral:hammerhead_ribozyme from 1 species
AUCCAGCUGACGAGUACCGAAUAGAACGAAAUGCGCGUCGUGGAU